AUUGAACGCUGGCGGCAGGCUUAACACAUGCAAGUCGAGCGGAGAUGAGGUGCUUGCACCUUAUCUUAGCGGCGGACGGGUGAGUAAUGCUUAGGAAUCUGCCUAUUAGUGGGGGACAACAUUCCGAAAGGAAUGCUAAUACCGCAUACGCCCUACGGGGGAAAGCAGGGGAUCUUCGGGCCUUGCGUUAAUAGAUGAGUCUAAGUCGGAUUAGCUAGUUGGUGGAGUAAAGGCCUACCAAGGCGACGAUCUGUAGCGGGUCUGAGAGGAUGGUCCGCCACACUGGGACUGAGACACGGCCCAGACUCCUACGGGAGGCAGCAGUGGGGAAUAUUGGACAAUGGGCGGAAGCCUGAUCCAGCCAUGCCGCGUGUGUGAAGAAGGCCUUUUGGUUGUAAAGCACUUUAAGCGAGGAGGAGGCUACCUGGAUUAAUACUCUAGGAUAGUGGACGUUACUCGCAGAAUAAGCACCGGCUAACUCUGUGCCAGCCGCCGCCGUAACAC
rnacentral:rRNA from 1 species